ACACAUCGCUGGGCUGCGGGGCGGGGACCGGGACUGGCCGUGCCCUGGGGCGGGCGAGGAAAUGGCGGCCAUGGGGUGCCCUGCCUUACCCGGGUGUCCCGUGCCCGCUGCGACCUCGGCGGGCUUGUCCCGCCCGCCUUCCAGUGCCACAGGCUGAGGGAUCGGCAGCGGGAUCGGCCCAGCGAGGGGCCGCGGGGGCUACGAGUGCUGUGGGGCUGCCUGCCCGCCUUAGUCCCGCCGCCCUCUUGUGCUUGUGCUUCCCCGGAGCUCUCGAGGUGUUGCGCGCACGCCGCCUCUGGAGGGUAGGUAGGCCCUAUGCUUCUGAGCCCAGGAAAGAAGAGACAGCAGUCUGAGAUCUCAAAUUGAUUUUUGUUGCUGAAGAGUAUGUUGUUUUAACAGCACAUAUCUAUAAAGAUUUUAAAGGACUUAAAAGAUGCUUAUUUUGGGCAAAUUUUUACUGAUGUUAACAAGUUCAGCAGGGCCUAACCAUGACCAACAAGGUGAGGAGCAUUUCACAUCCCCUCUGGACAAGGCCCAGGGUGUGCUGCCUGAGUUUCCUGCUGAAGGUGACACUCCAGCAAGAGCUGCCUUUCAGAAUUUGAAAAUUCAACCAAUAUGGACAAAAGUAUCAACGUUUACGUCUGUCUUUAGUUUUUGCAUUUCAGUAGUUCAGAUUUCACUGAAAAUUCUUUGAGAUCUUCAGCACAUGGAAGAUUGAAUCAGUAAUUUAGUAUCAUAAUGAAGAAUAAUUGCGGCCUUUCCUAGAUACCAGAAGGCGAUCAAGGAAAGCUCUUUUCUUUCUUCCAACUCUCAUCUGGAGCUAUCAAGAUUAAAUGAAGCACAACUCAUGGCUAAUGAAGUUUUUACUAUUCCACUAUAAUAAAAUUUAAUCACUUAAAAUGCUUCCCUUUGGCCUUUCAUACACAAUUUCUGUCCAUAUUUUGUCUAUUUUAGUGGAGUCAUAUGCCAUAUUUAGCCCAGACGAACAUUUUUAGAUUUUACUAAUUUCAAAACGUUGUCAAGUAGACACACUAGUAUGUCUUCUGUCUGUAUUGUCAGCCUGAUGUACAUGCCUGUAAGUUCAUCUAAGACUCUUUCCACUAUUGCACAGAAAACAAAUUGUCUUUCAGGGAAAUACCUCUCAGUGUUUCAAUCACUACUGCUGCCUUUCAGUUAGGAUUACUAAAAAUCUCAAACUUUAUUCUCCUAAAAGUGCAGAUCAGCUGCAUUUUAGUAAUUUUAGAUGCUGGAAUCCAGCUGUCUUGGUUGGGAAAGACAGUUGUCUGCUAAGAAAAGCUCAAGCCUCACUUGGAAUGGAGAAUGUAAACCUCCUUUCCUCCAAAUUAUUAUAAUUUUGCAAUUAGGGGCUUUCAGGCAAAGAUAUGGGAAUAGGUGUAAUAGUCCUUUACUAGGAAAAUUAAAAAAAAAAACAACAAACAAACAAACAAACAAACAAAAAAAAAAAACACAAGAAAAACCAAAAAAACCCCACAAGCAAGGAAGCAAACAAAAAUCCUAGGAAAAAACCCUGACAGAGUCAGGGAAACGACC